UUGAGUAAAUACUUCUGCACACCUAUGUGUUACGUUUUAAUUAAUAUCAAUAAAUAUAAUUCAAACACUUGGAACAAACUGACUCUUCAUUUCAUGUAUUAAUCAUAUUUGCAUAUACUUAUAUAUUUUUAUAUCAGCUCCCUCCCAAGUUCGAUCUUACUCGAAUUUUUUUCCACCUUCUGACUCUAAGUUCAUGUGUCUCCCCAUUGUCUUCCUCACAUUCCAUUUCCUCCCCUUUCUUCAGCCUCAAGAAACGUCUAUUUUGCCAUAUAAUUCUUCAUUAUUUAAUCGAACUUGUUAUUUUCUAUUUUUUUCCUUUCCAAUAAUCCGUCCGUUAUCCGACCAUCAAUUAUUCUUAUAAUUUUGCAUUAUCACCUCCAUUCCUACUUUCAACUCCGGUAAAUCCCUCUUAUUAUUAUUAUAACAGAUUUUCUCCUUCUCCCUUGCUCCUCCAUUCUCCUCAAACAGUCUUAUUGAUCUUUUUCCAAUCUUGGACCAUAGCUCUUCCAAUGAAUAGGUACACACGAUCUUACUUGAUGACCAAAUAAGAUCUCAUUUGGUGAUCUUCCAACUGCCUUUGGAGUGUUUCGAAACUCUAGAAUUCCAUCAUGUCCAUAACUUUGCGGAAAAUGGGGUGAAGAAGGUCCCCAUGUACUCCCCACAUCUUCAAGAAUGUCUGAAAUUCCCUGGAACUAAACUGAGGCUCUUGAUCUGUUCUUAUUUUCACUGGAAUCCCGGUUUCAGAAAAUAUUUUUUUAAUGUCACUAUUACUUCUCCCGAAGAUGGAGCUCUUUUGAAUUCCUCUACAUAUGGAUAUCCUGAAAGACGAUCUCCAUAUACCAAGUAAUAGUUUCCUCUAUGCUCAAACAAAUCUGCAGACGUGCUCUCAAAUGGCCUCAUUAGUAUCGGGUCCCUCACCAUCGUUUCUUUAGUUCAUUCCAGGCCAAUACAUCGUCUGCCUAGCUCUUCUUUUCGUCUUCUCGAUACCUUGAUGUGAACUGUACAAUCCCUGAAGAACUUAAACUUGUUUCUCUUAUGGAAUUACUAGCCUAUUACCAUAUAAAACAAGACCAUUUUCAGUAUUUAAAUCAUUUAAUAUCUUGGAAAAUGGUUGUACUGAAUCGUUUAUACAAUUGUCUUCAACUGCAUUCACUAAAUCUU
rnacentral:lncRNA from 1 species